rnacentral:rRNA from 1 species
AUUGAACGCUGGCGGCAUGCCUAACACAUGCAAGUCGAACGGCAGCAUGGUACGAUUUCGGUUGUACUGAUGGCGAGUGGCGAACGGGUGAGUAACACGUGGAGAUAUACCUUGAAGAGGGGGAUAACUUAAGGAAACUUAAGCUAAUACCGCAUAAGCUCUAAGGAGGAAAGCUGGGGACCUUAUGGCCUGGCGCUUUGAGAUUAGUCCACGUCUGAUUAGCUAGUUGGUGGGGUAAGGGCUUACCAAGGCGACGAUCAGUAGCUGGUCUGAGAGGAUGGACAGCCACACUGGGACUGAGACACGGCCCAGACUCCUACGGGAGGCAGCAGUGGGGAAUAUUGGACAAUGGGGGCAACCCUGAUCCAGCAAUGCCGCGUGUGUGAAGAAGGCCUGAGGGUUGUAAAGCACUAUCGGUGGGGAGGAGGGAUAGUUGGUUAAGAGCUGAUUAUCUGGACGUUACCCAUAGAAGAAGCACCGGCUAACUCCGUGCCAGCCGCCGCGGUAA